GAUGAACGCUGGCGGCGUGCCUAAUACAUGCAAGUCGAGCGAACAGACGAUGAGCUUGCUCCUCUGACGUUAGCGGCGGACGGGUGAGUAACACGUGUAUAACCUACCUAUAAGACUGGGAUAACUUCGGAAAACCGGAUCUAAUACCGGAUAAUAUAUUGAACCGCAUGGUGCAAUAGUGAAAGACGGUUUUGCUGUCACUUAUAGAUGGAUCCGCGCCGCAUUAGCUAGUUGGUAAGGUAACGGCUUACCAAGGCAACGAUGCGUAGCCGAACUGAGAGGGUGAUCGGCCACACUGGAACUGAGACACGGUCCAGACUCCAACGGGAGGCAGCAGUAGGGAAUCUUCCGCAAUGGGCGAAAGCCUGACGGAGCAACGCCGCGUGAGUGAUGAAGGUCUUCGGAUCGUAAAACUCUGUUAUUAGGGAAGAACAAAUGUGUAAGUAACUAUGCACGUCUUGACGGUACCUAAUCAGAAAGCCACGGCUAACUACGUG
rnacentral:rRNA from 1 species